AGGACGAACGCUGGCGGCGUGCUUAAGACAUGCAAGUCGAACGGAUCUGGUCCUUCGGGACCAGGUUAGUGGCGAACGGGUGAGUAAUGCAUCGGAACGUAUCCUUGAGUGGGGGAUAACGCAGCGAAAGUUGUGCUAAUACCGCAUAAGCUCUGAGGAGGAAAGCGGGGGACCGAAAGGCCUCGCGCUGAAGGAGCGGCCGAUGUCCGAUUAGCUAGUUGGUGAGGUAAAGGCUUACCAAGGCGACGAUCGGUAGCUGGUCUGAGAGGAUGAUCAGCCACACUGGGACUGAGACACGGCCCAGACUCCUACGGGAGGCGC
rnacentral:rRNA from 1 species